AUGAAAUAAGACAAGGCAAAACACACUACCAGUUUGUAUUCUGUAAACACAUAGUUUCAUAUAAAUUUUAUAGCAUUGUAUGGCACAUCUUCAAGCAAGUAACUACAAUAUGCAUUUAAAAUGUUCAAAACUUGGGUCGGCUAAAUUUCAAAUAGAAUAAUGACAAAAAAUGAUCAAGAAAAGAUUGGAGCAAGUGGGAGCAACACUAAACACAAAAUAAAAUAAGAUGCGACACGAAAUAAAAUAGUACCUUUAGGCAUAGUUGCACAAUUAAAAUCAUUUGACAACCAUGCAAUUUAAAGUAGUUUCUACUUAGUAAUACAAGCGAUAAGUGCAAAAAAUCAAUGGUCAUUGCGUCAUUUAGAUAUCGCUAAUAAUUUAGAAAGAUUCAAAA
rnacentral:misc_RNA from 1 species